rnacentral:rRNA from 1 species
UACAGAGGGUGCAAGCGUUAAUCGGAAUUACUGGGCGUAAAGCGAGCGUAGUCGGUUAUUUAAGUCGGAUGUGAAAUCCCCGGGCUCAACCUGGGAAUUGCAUUCGAUACUGGAUAGCUAGAGUUCGGCAGAGGGAAGCGGAAUUUCUGGUGUAGCGGUGAAAUGCGUAGAUAUCUGGAGGAACACCGGUGGCGAAGGCGGCGUUCUGGACUGCAACUGACACUGAUGAACGAAAGCCAGGGGAGCAAACGGG